rnacentral:misc_RNA from 1 species
GAUGAAGAACGUAGCGAAAUGCGAUAAGUAAUGUGAAUUGCAGAAGUCAGUGAAUCAUCGAAUCUUUGAACGCACAUUGCGCCCAUUAGCAUUCUAGUGGGCAUGCCUGUUCGAGCGUCAUUUCAACCCUUAAGCCCUGUUGCUUAGCGUUGGGAGCCUACAGUACUGUAGCUCCCCAAAGUUAGUGGCGGAGUCGGUUUCACACUCUAGACGUAGUAAUUUUUUCUCGUCUGUAGUUGAGCCGGUCCCCUGCCGUAAAACACCCAAUUUAUCAAGGUUGACCUCGGAUCAGGUAGGAAUACCCGCUGAACUUAAGCAUAUCAAUAAGCGGAGGA